GCUGCAGGUACCCCACCCUUAUAAACAAUACAGUGGCUGCAGGUACCCCACCCUUAUAAACAAUACAGUGGCUGCAGGUACCCCACCCUAUAAACAACACAGUGGCAUAACGACCCAAACCAACGACCAGGUUCAUAUGGAAAUAUGAAUGUGACCAUUAACUAGAGUUACCAUGGCCAUGUGUACUAUUCAAGGGCGUCGGAACCGGGGGGACGGAGGAACAAGUACCCCUCAAUGUCGGGGGAGUCGAAAAAGCCCCCCCCC